GGGGCCCUGGCUCAGUGGGUAGAGCAUCUGCUUGGCAUGCUGAAGGUUCCAGUUUCAAUACCUGCCAUCUCCA
rnacentral:tRNA from 1 species